AUGGGCGCCAUCGGUGUUGCCUUGUUCCUCGCCGUGGCUCUAGCAGCGACAUCUGGCGGCGGCGAUGCUGUGAUCGUGGAGCACACGUUCGUCGUGAGCCAGAUUAAGCUGCGUUACCUGUGCAACGACACGCUAGUCACAUUGGUCAACGGCCAGCUCCCCGGUCCAGCAAUUGAGGUCACGGAAGGAGAUUCUCUGGUUGUUCAUGUCAUCAACAAGUCGCCCUCUGGGUUAACUAUUCAUUGGCACGGAGUGAAGCAGCAGCUGAAUUGCUGGGCUGAUGGAGCAGGGAUGAUAACACAAUGCCCAAUCCAACCAAACAAGAAUUUCACGUAUCGAUUCAACGUCAGGGGCCAGGAGGGCACGUUGUGGUGGCAUGCUCACGUCGGCUGCCUCCGUGCAACCAUUCAUGGCGCACUGCUCAUCCGGCCAAGAUCCGGGCCCAAUUCUUACCCAUUUCCUAGACCUCACAAAGAGAUCCCCAUCGUUAUAGGUGAAUGGUUGGGAAUGGAUCCUAUUAAAUUGGAAACGAGAAUUCAGAGCAGUAUUUUAAGUGAUGAGCCCCUUUCAGCUACAAUCAAUGGAAAGCUUGGAGACGCCAAUAAUUGUUCAGGGGUCAUCGAAGACAACUACAUUCUAAAUGUCGAGCAGGGCAAGACAUAUCUCUUACGGAUAGUAAACGCUGCGCUCCACUCAGAGUACUACGUGAAAAUCGCUGGGCAUACCUUCACAGUGGUCGCCGCUGAUGCCAAUUAUGUGAAACCAUACACCACAGAUAUAAUUGCAAUCGCGCCAGGUGAGACGUUGGACGCUCUGCUAGUUGCCGAUGCAUCACCUGGCAGGUACUACAUUGUGGCGAACAGCAAGUCAAUGAGAGUGAAAACAAGAGGGAUUGUGUACUACAAUCCAAGCAAAAGAUCUGAUGACACUCAAGUAAUGGAGCCAGACAUGCCCGGUAAAGAUGAUGCAGCCGCAUCCUUCUACUUCCAUGGAAACUUGACCAGUUUGCCUCACCCGCUUGCGCAACCGGUGCCAGCAAACGUUGAUGAGCAACUGUUCAUGGCCAUUGACACGACACACAUGUGCAGAGAAGGUGGAUCAGUCUGUGGUUUGGUGUCCCGUAUGAACAACAUCUCGUUCCAGCUUCCCCCCAGGAUACCAUUGCUCAAAGCGCACUACUACCACAAUGUGAGCAGCAGCGUAAGCACACUCCAAGAGUUCCCAAGCAUCAUACCACCUGGGUUAGUGUACAACGACGGCCAGACGUCCAAGGCGACAUCCGUGAGGAGGCUGCGGUACAACACCACAGUGGAGAUUGUAUUCCAGUGUCCUCCAGUGAUGUACAGCUACUCUAACCCUAUGCACCUCCACGGACACGACUUCUUUGUUCUCGCACAGGGGCAUGGAAAAUACGAUGCGGACAAGGAUAUGCAGACAUACAAUUUGGUGGAUCCACCCGUGAGGAACACAAUCCUUGUCCCAGUAGUGGGGUGGACUGUCAUCCGAUUCAUCGCAAGUAAUCCUGGGGUGUGGUUCUUGCAUUGCCAUUAUGAGAAGCACGCGUCGUCAGGCAUGGCAAUGGCAUUCAUGGUGGAGAACGGGCCGACAUUGGACUCCACUCUUCCACCACCUCCAAGCGACUAUCCAAGCUGUGAUGACCAAAACAAUGGUCUGGAAUUUGAGUAA
rnacentral:rRNA from 1 species